rnacentral:rRNA from 1 species
GUAAACCUCUUUCAGUAGGGAAGAAGCGAAAAGUGACGGUACCUGCAGAAGAAGCGCCGGCUAACUACGUGCCAGCAGCCGCGGUAAUACGUAGGGCGCAAGCGUUAUCCGGAAUUAUUGGGCGUAAAGAGCUCGUAGGCGGUUUGUCGCGUCUGCCGUGAAAGUCCGGGGCUCAACUCCGGAUCUGCGGUGGGUACGGGCAGACUAGAGUGAUGUAGGGGAGACUGGAAUUCCUGGUGUAGCGGUGAAAUGCGCAGAUAUCAGGAGGAACACCGAUGGCGAAGGCAGGUCUCUGGGCAUUAACUGACGCUGAGGAGCGAAAGCAUGGGGAGCGAACAGGAUUAGAUACCCUGGUAGUCCAUGCCGUAAACGUUGGGCACUAGGUGUGGGGGACAUUCCACGUUUUCCGCGCCGUAGCUAACGCAUUAAGUGCCCCGCCUGGGGAGUACGGCCGCAAGGCUAAAACUCAAAGGAAUUGACGGGGGCCCGCACAAGCGGCGGAGCAUGCGGAUUAAUUCGAUGCAACGCGAAGAACCUUACCAAGGCUUGACAUGAACCGGAAACGCCUGGAGACAGGUGCCCCGCUUGCGGUCGGUUUACUWGGUGGUGCAUGGUGUCGUCAGCUCGUGUCGUGAGAG